rnacentral:rRNA from 1 species
AGUGGCGGACGGGUGAGUAACGCGUAAGAAUCUAACUUCAGGACGGGGACAACAGUGGGAAACGACUGCUAAUACCCGAUGUGCCGCGAGGUGAAACCUAAUUGGCCUGAAGAAGAGCUUGCGUCUGAUUAGCUAGUUGGUGGGGUAAGAGCCUACCAAGGCGACGAUCAGUAGCUGGUCUGAGAGGAUGAGCAGCCACACUGGGACUGAGACACGGCCCAGACUCCUACGGGAGGCAGCAGUGGGGAAUUUUCCGCAAUGGGCGAAAGCCUGACGGAGCAACGCCGCGUGAGGGAGGAAGGUCUUUGGAUUGUAAACCUCUUUUCUCAAGGAGGAAGUUCUGACGGUACUUGAGGAAUCAGCCUCGGCUAACUCCGUGCCAGCAGCCGCGGUAAUACGGGGGAGGCAAGCGUUAUCCGGAAUUAUUGGGCGUAAAGCGUCCGCAGGUGGUCAGCCAAGUCUGCCGUCAAAUCAGGUUGCUUAACGACCUAAAGGCGGUGGAAACUGGCAGACUAGAGAGCAGUAGGGGUAGCAGGAAUUCCCAGUGUAGCGGUGAAAUGCGUAGAGAUUGGGAAGAACAUCGGUGGCGAAAGCGUGCUACUGGGCUGUAUCUGACACUCAGGGACGAAAGCUAGGGGAGCGAAAGGGAUUAGAUACCCCUGUAGUCCUAGCCGUAAACGAUGGAUACUAGGCGUGGCUU